UUUGAAAACGUUUUCAAAUUGAAUUUCGAAUGUUUUUGAAAACAUUUUGAAAUUGAAUGUUGAAUGUUUUUUGAAAACAUGUUUGUGAUUGGUUGAUGAUUCAGAAUGGUUAACGCUCACUGAAAUUUUUGUCUCUAUCAUUUGUAUGGGAUCACGUAACAGAGAGAGCGCUAUACAAACUUCGUUCCGCGGAUAGCGUAUAGCGAACCUAUACCUACC